AUCUGUGGCCACUCCAGCUUUCUCAUUCUCCUUCCAACACAUCAAGCUUUGUCACACCUCAGAGCCGGCGCACUUACUGCUUCAUCAGACUGGGAUGCUUUCUUCAAGAGAAUGGAGCAGAGGAAUUUGGGCAUAGCUGCUCUCCUAGCAGCUUACAGAACAAAGAGCCCCAGGCCUCCAGCGUGUCACUUUUCAUGGGUCUAUUUCCGGGAUGCUGUGCGAACUUGAUCUCAGAACCAGCAGCAGAAACACUGGACUCGUCUGUCCACUAAGAAAUGAGAAGACUUCCUUCAGGAGUUCGAACUGCUUCUAAGCCCUGAGCUAACUACUGCUAGUCAUCCUCUUUUUGCUGAGGAAGCCUGGCCCUGAGCUAACAUCCGUGCCCAUCUUCCUCCACUUUAUAUGCGGGACGCCUACCACAGCAUGGCAUGCCACGAGGUGACGUCUCCGAACCUGGGAUUUGAACCGGCGAACCCCUGGCUUUGGAGAAGCGGAAUGUGCAAACUUAACUGCUGUGCCACCAGGCUGGCCCCUGUUAAAAAUGUUAAAUAGUCACACACACGCUUGGCAAAAAGAUUGAAAGACAAUACACCUCAUUGUAGCAGGAGUUAUUUCUGGAUGAUGAGAGAUCAGAGUUGGAAUUCAUUUAUUUUUAAUUUUUAUAAAAUGAACAUGCACUAUUCUUAUAAUCAGAAAAAAAUGGUAAGAAAGAGGUAGAGGUUGGUUUUUCUUGAAUGGGUUUAAUUUUAAGGUUUUUCCUCAUUUUCAAAUUACAGCUUUGUCAGGAGAUAAAAGAAAAGUAAGUGAGCUCCAGAAAUUUUGCCACAAAUAAUAAAUUGCUAUUCAUAUUAUAAAUCACAUAUAAGUUAUUAGAUUAAAAUUUAAAGCUACCAUAACAGGUUAUUCAUGUAACACUCUGCUUCAAGCUUUUUGAUUUAUUCUGAAUUGCUAGUCCGCUUCACAGAGUUUAGAUCACAUAAGUUGUUACAUUUUGUUGAUGAUGUUUUGGUUUGGUUUAGUUUUCCUAAAAAAAUUAUAGGAAUAAACAAAUUCAACCCUCCAUAGCUAAAAUUAAAAAGCAAACUGGAUGACAAAACGUAUUUAUAUAAAUUUGACAGAAAGUUAAGAGUUACAUUUUCUGAAGAGCAUUUUAAAAGUGUUGUUUAUAAGAAAAC
rnacentral:lncRNA from 1 species